GAAGAAGCAAACGUGGGCCUGGAAACGCUAGAAAAUGAGCUCAAGGAUAAGAAGUUCUUUGGAGGAGAGAGUAUCGGAUUUGUAGAUAUCGCUGCCAAUUUCAUAGGCUUUUGGGUUGGAGUUCUUGAGGAAGUGGUUGGAGUGGAAUUGCUGACAAUUGACAAAUUUCCAAUAUUAUGCAAAUGGAGAGAUGAGUACGUCGGGUGCAGUGGGAUCAAGGAAAAUCUGCCUUCCAAAGAAAAGCUAGGGGCCUAUUUUCGGACCCGGGUUGAAAGCGCCAGUCAAUCCGAAUGAAUGGUUUGUGGAUGAGGUUAUGCGGACUGCUGCUCAUGGACAUGAGUAACUUGAAAGAAAACCAGCCUUCUGUAUGUUUGUGUAAUGCGUUAUGCUUCUGCUUUUCUAGUAUGUUGUAUACUUGUUUUGGCAUGUAAUAAGGAGUCGAUUGCCGUGGUUUGUCGUUUUGGAUGAACCGGCAAACGUGUUAGACUAUAUGGUCUGUACACCUUUUCCACUCCUCGCUUUGUGAGAAUAAAGGAUGUUGAGUCAAACAUUGACAGUGUGAACUUGAACAUGGAAACAAUAAAGCCCGUCACUCUUGCUUUGUGUGCGGCUCAGAAGCUGAACAUGUAGUCCAGGAGCCGUGAUUCAACUCUCUUACUAACAAAAAGACAACAUAUACCCCCUCAAUCGGUCAUUAAUGACAUAUUUAUUUUCUUUAUUCAUUAUGUCAUCAUGCUAUUCCUUCACUUUUUCCUUCUCAAGUGGAUUAAGCAGAGACCUUGGAAAAAUUAAUCCUUUUGAGGAGGCAGAAGUAGGCAUGUUUGCAUGUGAUUAAGAAUAAACAUCGGCCAUGGAGAAUGAACAUUGUUACAUGACCUAGCCAUGAAUAUAUACUAAAACAUAAAGAGCUAGGAAUUCCCAACUCCACCUCGGGUAGAUUUGGUGUGGAUUGAACAUACUAUAGACGAGAUACGAGUUAGCCUGCCAUCCUGUCCAAUCUAAUUAAGUUGCAGCUAGUCUUAAAAAGAACCAAUUUCCUUCUAAAUAUUCAUUUAGGAACUGGGAAGGAUACCUUUCAUAAACAUGUCAUAACACACUUGACAACCCGGGACUACUAUGGUAGAUUAUGCAUUAAUAGGGCCUCUUUUUCUUCCUUUUUCACUUUUCUGGAAGUGUACACCAACAACUGUGCCUGGGGGAUGAUAUCGAUUGACGAAUUUAUAAGUAUAAAACACCUAAGGUUGUUCUAUGGUACCCAAUCUCUAUUUUGGGAUACCUACCCACAUUUGACCCCAAUAAAAAGAUGACAUGUGUAAAGUACAUAUCAUUAAAAAAUUUAUAAAAACUUAUCAAAUCGGUAAAGAUAAUUUGUUGGUGAGAAAUAAUCACAUGCAUUUCAUCUAUAUAUAAAUAUUAUAACUUUUUUAUAAUUUAUUAUUAAAUAUCAAAUAUAAUUUGUUAUUUAAUGCAUUACCUAACUCUAUCUAAAAAAAGAAAAUCCUACCAACUAUUCUUAUACUCUCAUUAUUCAUAUAUAAAAAAAAAGAUAGUAAUUUAAUAUGAAAAUUAAAUAAUUUCAACUACCAAAUUACAAAAUAUGUAAGACGUAUUUUGAUGAAUCAAAUUUCAAGAUCAAGUUUAAAACUUUUUUAGAGAGAAAAAUUAAAAUUUGUAUUAUAUGAAGAAGAUGAAGGAUUUCAAGUGAUUACAAGUGUCAAAAAUAAUAUUUGAUAUUUUUUUUAUCCAAAUAUAAUUGUUGUAGAAAGAAAUGUGAUGUUAAAUAACGAUUUUAGAAUUUUUUAUGAGUUUAUUAUAAAAUUUUGUUAUCAAAUUGUUACUAAUAUUUUUAUAUAAUUAUUUUUUUUUUGUUCAUAGAUUAAAUUUGAAGAUGAAGCUUUAUAUGUCUUGAAGGAUGUCAAGUGAUUACAAGUGUUAAAAGGUAACCUUUGAUUUUUUUUUCCAUUUACAUAUAACUAUUGUAGGUAGAAAUGUCAUGUUAAAUGACAUUUAAAUAUGUAAUGAUUUAUAACAUCUAGAUUUUUUAAUUUUUUUUAGUUAUUAUUAAUCAAAUUGAGAGCAUUUAGUCAUUUGUUAUGAAAUUGUCAUCAAUAUUUUGUAAGAUAAGGGUACAAACUUUUUAAGAGAUGGUACAAACUUUAGUACAAACAUUGUAAGAGAGGAUACGAACAUUAUAAGAUAAUAUACGAACUUUCUAAGAGAUGGUACGAAGUUUACAAGAGAUUGUACGAACUUUGUAAGAGAUGGUACGAACUUUCUAAGAAAAUAUAUGAACUUUAUAAGAGAUGGUAUGAACUUUGUAAGAGAAGGUACGAACUUUGUAAGAGAAUGUACGAACUUUCUAAGACAAUGUACGAACGUGGUAAAAGAGGAUACGAACUUUGUAAGAAAUGGUACAAACUUUCUAAGAGAUGGUACGAACUUUUUGAAGAGAUUGUACGAACUUUCUAAGAUAGUGUACAAACUUUGUAAAAGAUGGUACGAACUUUGUAAGAGAUGGUACGAACUUUCUAAGAAAUUGUACGAACUUUCUAAGAGAUAGUAUGAACUUUGUAAAAGAUGGUACGAACUUUGUAAAAGAGGGUACGAACUUUUUAAGAGAUGGUACGAAUUUUAUAAGAGAGUGUACGAACUUUGAAAAUAUAAUAUUUUACAAUUACGUAGUGUUUUAAUUUUUUAAUUUUCUUGAAAAUAGUUUCCAUCAUUUCUAUGCUUGAUUAGUAUCAAUAAACAAUAUUAUUUGCAUUUUUAAGUGGAAAAAAUUGAAAAAAUUUUAAAUUUCAGGAUAUGGAGAAUAUGAUGUAGGGUAUGAAGAAUGUAUGGAUUUCUCAUAAUCUUCAUACCUUUUCUCACAUGUUUUGUAUCCUCUCUAAUUUUUUAGUGUUUUAAUUUUCUAAUUUUUUUUAGGAUAAUUUACAUUAUUUCCAAUUUUAAAAUUUUAAAAUUCUUUUUUUUGUAACAAUUCUAUCAAUAAUAACUCAAAUAAUAUUAUUAAACUAUGUUAUUGUUAUUUCAAGUUAAAAACUAAAUAUGAAAUUUUAAAAAUAUAAAUAAUUUAGGGUACAAAAAAUAUGAGAACAGUACGAAAAAUGUGAUAAAUACAUGUUUGGCACUUUCAUCACAUUUUUUAUAUUGAUUUUUAGUUUUAAAAUUUUUGAAAUUAAAAAUUUAUUUUCGAAAAUACUAUCAUUAGUAACUCAAAAGAGUAUUAGUAAUUUAUUUUAUCUAAUUUAACUUUAAAAACCUUAAAUUCAAAAAAUGUAAAAUUUGGAGAGUACAUAAAAAAAUUAGGACAAUCUAAUUACCUAAGUUUUACAUAUGAUUAUCAAAAUGUUGAAUUUUAAUUAAAAUACUCAUUUUAUAUUAAAAUAUUAUCAUAUUCAUUUUUAUGUUGAAUUUAAAUCUUUAAUAAUUUGUUAAAAAUAAAAUAAUGUAAUUAUGAUAUAUGAUGAUUUUUUUUUUUUGCUAAUAAAUAUGUUUUCAAAUUUUAUAUCAUUUUUAUUUUUAUUUUUUUCCAAUUCUAUUUUUAUCUCAUAUUUAUUUUAUUUAAACCAAAAAUUGUUAAGAAUGGAGGAAGAAAGAAGGUCAUGAUUCUUCUCUUAACUGGUUAAGAGGAAUUUUUAUUUCAAAUUUAAAAUAGAUGGCCAAGAUGUAAUAUUGAACAUCAAUGGCUUAGAAAAACUUUUCGGUAGGUACCGAAGAGGUACCCUAGAAUUUUCCAACACCUGGAGGCUUAUUUGCCAAGUAAUCCUAUAAUUGUCCCUCCGUAAGAAGGCGCGAACUUGAAAGAAGAACCAAAUGUAAAAGCAGAACCACAUACUCUUUUAAUGUGGAAAUAGAGAAGUUGGGACCAAGUGAAGCUCAUUGUGAUGUGGGAAAACCCUUUGAAACUAAAAUGAGUCUGGUAUGAUUACAAUGAAGAAGAUCUCAAUAAUAAGAGUUUGUUGCUUCUCUAGUCGCUCUACAUGCUCCCACACAACAUAAAGCCCAUUGUGGAUUGUUAACUUGUAAUGCAUAGAAGAACUUAGAAAGCGGCGAUCUAUGGCACGUUUCUGUAAUGUCCGGGUAUUUUAGGCCACGUUGAAAAUUCUAGUUUGAAAAGUUUUCCUUUGAGUAGUGGUUGAAAAGUCAAAAAAAAAAAAAAAAUGAUUGGAGAAUACGUGUUAAUUUUGAAUUGAUGAAAUUCGAUUUAUUGUGUUGAUCAAUUAGACGAGUUAAAAAUUUUGUGCCACGUCAACCUUAUGGUAGAAAUUUUCUUAGGAUUUUAGAAAUUGAAAAUUUCCGGAAACAAAAAAUGAAAACAAAAAUGAAAAGUGAAUUAAUUAAAAUUAAUUAGAAUUAAUUUUUAUCAAAAUUUUCUUAGGAUAUUAAAAAUUGAAAAUUUCAGGAAACGAAAAACGAAAACGAAAAUGAAAAGUAAAUUAAUUAAAAUUAAUUAGAAUUAAUUUUUAUCAAAAUUUUCUUAGGAUUUUAGAAAUUGAAAAUUUACGGAAACGAAAAACGAAAACGAAAAUUAAAAGUGAAUUAAUUAAAAUUAAUUAGAAUUAAUUAAAUAAAAAAAUAAAUUAAAUUUGUUUAUUAAGAAAAAUUGAGAAAAUUAAAUUUUUGAGUUGGUGUUUAAUACAUUAAUUUGUGUGUUAGUAAAAAAAAUUGGAAAUGAAACAAAUGGGAUAAAUAUAAUAAAAGAAAUAAAUAGGAUUCAAUGGGGCCUUUGGAUAUUGGGUCAUGGAUAAUGGGCUGGUGGUUAAAUGAAAUAAAUAAAAUAAAAUAAAAAAGGAAAAAAGGAAAAGCAAUUAAAAAGUGGUAGAACAGGAGAGAGAGAAAGAGUCCUGACGGACUGUGGAGAAACCCAUCUCGUCAGAACUUUGGCCAACCUAUUGGACGGUCGAACGUCCGUUUCGGCUCAAAUUUUGAAGAGGUGUUCUACUCGACGAAAGAAACGAUUCUACGAUGGCCGAUCAUGAUUUUAAUGGUCGAAUUCUUAAAUCUAUGGUAUGAACUUUUAAUUUGGACUGUAAUGAUAAGUAAUACAUCUUGUUGCUUUUGAGCAGUGUUUGGGAUAUUAUUAGUUGAUGAAAACUCUAGUGUGAGGUAUGUGUCGAAGAAAAAAAAUAAAAAUUCAGAGUGUUUUGGUUGAUUGCGAGCGUAGAAUAAAAGGAACCCUUAGAGUCAAACCUUUGACUUGGGGUCAUGGGCCAAAUUUUGGGUGGCCCGGAAUUUGAGUCGUGAUAGUUUCUAUGCUAAAUUUGCAGAUGAGAAGGUACACCGUACACAUAUCAUUUUCUCAUGUCCUCACUAAAAGCUUACUAACAUUUACUAUCUUUUAGGGUUGCAGCAGCCAUGCAUCUAUGCAUCUCACACAAAAAAACUAAUGGGAGAAUUACCAGAUAAAACCAAUGGAGAAUUACCAAAAUUAUCCUUCAACUAAAACUUUUAAAAUUCAAAGAAUUUAAAUCACUUCACUUGGUUUGUAGGGACAUUUAUGGUGCGUGACCCCUACAUUUAUUGUAAUUAUUGACAUUCAAAUUUUAAAUCAAAAUUUUGAGUUUUAAUUUUUACAAUUAUUAUAUAUAAUGAUAGUAUAAUUUGUUAUUUAAAUUUACUAUUUAAAACAAAAAUAUUUCUAAAAAAUAUUUUCAAAAUAUUAUUUAUUGUGUUUAUUUUUUUACAUUUUUUAUUUCUAAUUUUAAAUUUUAUUAAGAAAAAAACAAGUUUCAUAAUUAUAUAAUAAAAAUGAUGACUUUUUCAUAUCUAUAUUUUUAAAUUUUAAAUUGAUAAGUUAAUUUUUUUAUAUUAAAUUCGAAGAAGAUAAAAUGUUUAAUUUUUCAUUGAUUAUCUAAAAAGAAUAAGAAAAUGAUGAAGAAUGUUUAAUCAUUUUUUAUUUUUUAUAAUAAAAUAAAUUUUUUUAAAAAAAUAUAUGAUUUUUUUUCCUAUGCAUAGUUUUUUUUUUCUUAAUUUUCAUAUAUAUAUAUUUUUUUUCUCAAUGCGUCAAGUGGAUGGUGUCAAUACAUUUGAUAUGUUGAAUAUUAAUGAGGUAUAAAAAGUGAUCUUUAUGAUUAUUACUUUUAUUAUAAACCAUAGGUAUAACACAAAUAUGUUGUAAUCACAAUAUAAAUAUACAUUACAAUAAAACCUAAUUGAAAAAAUUUUGAAAUUUUUUAUAAAAGUGAUAAUUUUGUAUGAUCAUACCAUAUUUCAUGACAUAUUUAUAUUAUAAAUCAUUUAUGAAACUAAAUGAAAUACUAAUUUGAAUUCUUAAGACUAUAUAUAUAUAUAUAUUUCAAUGCACCGAAUGAUCGUUAAUAUAUUGAUAUGAUGUGUUAAUACCAAUAAGAUAUAAAUAAACAUUUUUAUAAUUAUUACUUUUAUAAUGAAAUAUAGAUAUAGCAUAAAUGUAUUAUACUUAUAAUACAAAUACACUAUCUUUACAAUAUAUUGCAACAUAAUUUAAUUUUUUCAUGUGUUGUAUUACCCAAUGAAUAGUUGUUCGUUAAUUCAUUUAAUAGUUGUGUAUUAUUCAAUUGAAUAUUUAUAUAUUAUUCAAUUGAUGAGAAAAUAAUUAUUCAUUUUAUUAGGGUAACAAAGUUUUUAAUUUAUAUUUCAUAUGUAAAAUGAUAUAAUAACCUUAGGAUAUAAUUUUUAUUUAUAAGAUAUUGAAAAUUAUUUUUUGUACGAGGUUCUUUAAAAAAUCUCAAUUUUUUUUGAAAAAAAAACAAUUUUUUAUUUUUUGGAGUAUGAGAAAUAUAAUGUUGAUUACUUGUACUUAUAUCAUGUAUGCACCCACUAAUUAUCACAUCCAACCCACCUUAUCUGAUAAUUCUCCCAAAAUUAAUUGAAUUUAUUGAUCUAUUUAGUGUUUCCCUACACUUUUUGUCAUAAGCAUAGAUGAAAAUUUCAAAAAAAAAAAAAAAAAAAGGUCGAAAUUUCAUGUUUCAGUAAGGGACAAUACAAAAAAUGGAAAAAAAUAUUGGAAAAAAUCAACGAAAUAUCAACUAGGACCAAUUAAUCAAUGAUUUAAAACGCGGAUUUAAUUUAAUUUAAUUGACCAUAAAAAAUAUAAAAUUAUAGUGAUAAUUUUCUUAACUUUUUUUUAUAUCAUUUAUAUAUUAAUUAAAUAUAAAAAAUAUAAAUAUUUAAAAAAAUUAUACAUAUAUAAUCAUUUAUUUUAUAUUAUUUAAUACAAUUGAAUUAAAUGGAUCAUAAUUUUAAUAUUAAAUAUAUUUUAAAAUUAGACCUAUUAUAAUUAUAUAUCACAAUAUUAUUAUGGAAUAAUAGUUAAUGUAAUUUAAUAAUAAAUAUAUGCUUAUAAAAUUCAUAUUUUUUUUAUUGAGGCAUAUAAUAUUAUUAUCAAAUAUGAUAAAUUUUAUUUUUCUUAAGAUAAUUUUGUAGUUUAUUACACUCAAAUUGAUCAAAUUUAACGUCAAUACGUAAAGUCUAGGAGCAUAUAGCAAUUAUCCAUAGGUAUCAUUUAUAAAAAAAAAUGUGUGUAUUUUCCGUAAUUAGUUUGUAAUGGAAGGUGUCAUAAUAAUAAAGAUAUUGAAUAACGACAUAAAUAUAAUAUUAAUAAUAAUAUCAACUGUCUUUAUAAUAAUAGGUAUAAUAUUAAUAAAAAUAAUACUAAUACCAUCAAUAAUAUUAAUAAUGAUAUGAAUAAUAUAAUAUUAAUCUCUCAUAAACAAUAAUAUUAAAAAUAGCAUAAAUAUUUAACUAUAAUAAUAUAAUAUUUAAUUAUUAAUAUUUAAUCCGUCUUUUUCUUUCCUUCUUUUUCACCUGUCGGCCGCCUUGGUUGAAAUUGUCAACCACCCACCCCCACAUAACAAUUGACGUUAGAUUAUUAUAUCAAAUUAUCAAUAUUGAGAGGUUUUUAGAAUUUAAAUGUUUUUUUUAAUUUAACGUUCACAUCUGGAUUUUUUUGUAAAAAAAAUAAAAAUAAAAGAUGAAUAAGUUGAUAAGAUUUCAUGAAAUUCAAAAUUCAUUUUUUGAAUUAAAUUGAUUAAAAAUAAAAUAGAGAUAAUCAUCCUAAUUCAAGAUAUAAAGAUUUUUCAUAGAUAUUUAUAUGAAUUAUAAUUUUUAUUUUUAUUUUAUAAAAAAAAAAGUGAGGAAUAUUGUAUUAGCAAACUAUUUAGGACAAAAAAAUAAGAAAUUUAAAAAAAAUGAUAAUGAAAUUGGCUCUUUUCUUUUUAAUAAAAAAAAAUAAGAAUCUUGACAAUUUUUUUAAAUAAAAAAUAUUUGACAGAUAAUUAGAAAAAAAAAAAUACAUAUUGGUAGUGCACAUUGUGAAUGUUCAACCGUUGUUAUCUUUUGUGGUGAAUAUAAAGUAAAAUUUCUGUGUCAGGCAUCUACCAAACCGUCAUAAUUAAUUGUUAACCUGGAAUAUUGACUGAAAAUUAAUGUUUACCUUAAUAGAUAAGUAAAGUGGGGUGACAUCAUCACUUAGGUCACUUCUGGAGGGCUGCUCCUGUAAUUAAUAUUAGGGAGAAUUGUGUUUUGGGUCCAGCUGGGUCCAAAAAUUAACAUUUGGUCCUCCAAUCACCCAUAUUUAAGUCCAAGGAUAUGAGAUAGUAAUUGACAAAAAUACCCACGUGACUCAUUUUUGUCUUUAUUCUACUACUUGCCACUCAUCUUUCUUAUUUAACCAUUUUUUGAUUUUUCAUUUUUUUAAAACUCUUUAUAAAUAAUUGAAAAUUUACAUUAUUUUUUAUUUUUAAAUUAUAAAUAAACAAAAAUUAUAUUAAUGAUUCAAAGACUAUUUUAGAAAAUACUUUUUAAAAAAAUAUUAAUUUAAAUAAAUAAAAAUUAAUAUUUUAUAUUUAUUUUUAUCAUUUACAUUUUAGAAGUAAAUAAUUUAAUGAUUAAAAUACCAUUUAAAAUAAAUAUAUUCACUAUUUUAUUUUAUUUUUAUACUAAAAAGUAUUUUAAAGUUUUUUUUUACUAUUAUAAAAUAAAAAGUUUAAUUUUUUUUUAAUCUUCUUCCUUCCUUAUUUUAACAACUUUUUGAACAUGAUUUUUAGUAAUAAGUUAUAUGAAAUGCUACAAAUUUAUUUAUUAAUGAUUUUUUUUUUAAUGAUUUGAAUUAAUUGAAAAUUUAUUAAAAUAAAAAAAAUAAAAAAAAUAAAGAAAGGGGAUGGAUUGAGAGUUUUUAUUUUAAUAUAUAUAUAUAUAUAUAUUUUAAAAAAAUUCCCAAAUUAAAAAAGGAAAAAAAAAAAACAAUUCCUCAAGUUCCCAUGAAAAAAAAAAUGUUUUUUUUAAAUUCCCAAAUUAUAAAAAAAAAAAAAAAAAAUUACUCAAGGGAACUCGUCUCUUCAUGAAAAAAAAAAUAUUUUUUUUUAAAAAAAAAUUCCUCAAGGUAACUCGUCUUUUGAAAAAAAAAAUUUUAUAUAUAUAUAUAUUUUUAAAAAUUCCCAAAUUAUAUUAAAAAAAAAAACCACCCGGGUGGAUAUUCGGAGAAAGUGGGAUGUCAUCCGGACAGAAUUCCUACCCGGGUGGAAUGAGCGAUGAUUCCAUCCGGGGGGAAUGAUCGUUCCACCCGGGUAGGAAUUCUGUCCGGAUGACAUCCCACUUUAUCCGGAUAUCCACCCGAGUGGUUUUUUUUUUUUAAUAUAAUUUGGGAAUUUUAAAAAGAUAUAUAUAUAAAUUUUUUUUUUUUUCAAGAGACGAGUUACCAGGCUCCUAAUAGGUUUUGUACUAUUUUUAAACAACUUGAAUUUGAUAUUAAGACAAUUAUUGAUAGUUUUUUUUUUUCUUUUUUUUACCAAACUAUUUCAUUAAGACAUUCCCUACAAAAAUUAACACAUAAGAAAUAAAAUUUUGAGUUUUUUGAGUUAUUGUACAAGGUAUUACACUAACUGUACAAGACAAAUUUAGUAAUUGUAUAAGGGUGUAUAAGACUACUUUUUGUUAAGGAUUUCAAGUGAUUUUGAAAAAAUUUCCUAUUUUUUUCCAUUCAAAAUUUUUUCCCCCACUCAAAUUCUCUCACUCAAGAAUUGUUUCAAAUUUUAUUUUUAAAUUUCAUCAUCAAAAAUUUGUAAUUGUAUAUUUUGUUUUGUAGUUUUAGCAAUGUUAUUUCUUUUCACUAUAUAUUUUUUUUUUGUGAAAUUUUAUCCAAAUGAAUCUAUAUUUAAAAUUAUAAUCAUAUUUAUCAAAAUUUUUACUAAGAUUAUCUUUAAUUCUUUUAAUAUAUUUAUACUCAUUUAUUUAAAAAAUGAAAAACUAAUUUAUUUAUUUUUUUGUAAACAUGUUCUAUUACCUUUCAAGUAAAAAAUUAGAUAAGUUUCAAAGUCAAUAAAUAAAAAAAUUAAAUACCACUUUCAAUAAUUUUUAGAUAAAAUUUUAUAUAAUAUAUUUUAUUUGAAACUUAAUUUUUAAAGUUUAACUAAAAAAUUGUAUUGACAAUUUUCUUGUUGUGGGUCAAAAUACUUUGCAUUAGUCUAUCUAGAUAAGAAAAAUUAUUAAUAUAAUAUUAGAACUUCAUAUCUUAGUUUUUUUUUUUCAACAAAUUUAUCUUUUUAAAAAUUUUAAAAUAAAAUCAUUAAAAAUUAAAAAGCUAAAAAGAUAUAUAUAAUAAAGUGAAGUGAUAGUUAAUUUUAAAAUUUUUUAAAAUAUGGUUAAUGUAGAAAAUAUAAAAAAUAAUUAAAAAUAAGAGAAAAAUAUAGAUGAAAGGGUAAUAUAAAUUUAAAAUAAAAAAUGAAAAUUAAACUAAAAGAUAAAUACAAAAAGAUAAAAAAUAUUUGGAUGAAAAAUCCCAAAAUUUUUAUCAUUGCUUUUAAUAAGAGCAAAAAGAUUCAAUAUCUUUAAAAAUGAAAAAUAAAAAAAUAUUAUUGUUUUUUAUUUGACAUAAAAUAGAAAUAUAUAUUGGAAUAAAAAGGACAAAAAAAAGUUAGAAAUGAGUAAUAUUUAAUAGGGAAUAGAAAAGGAAAUAAAAAAUAAAAAAAAAAUUAAAAUUCACACUCACUUGUAGGCAUAUAAGGGAUAAGGGUAUUUUAGGAAUUAAUGAAAGACAAUAUCCUUCAUCUUCAUUUUCAUACUUUGUUUGGGUCUUGGGCUUAAAUAUGAGUGAUUGGAGGACCAAAUGUUAAUUUUUGGACCCAGCUGGACCCAAAACACAAUUCUCCCUUAAUAUUAUACGCCUCUCAGAAGGCUCUAUAUAUAUAUUAUUAAUUUGGCCAUUGACCGAUGGACAAUAUGAUUAAGGGUCAAGAGCAGUAAUGAAACCGUGAAGCACUUGGAUAGACCUUAUAAGAAGCCAUCAAAUGGAGCAGAGGAACCAAGCUUAGAUAGUGAUAUAAUGGCUGAAGAAGUGAAGCUAAUUGGGGUGUGGGGAAGCCCAUUUAGUCGCAGAGUAGAGAUUGCUCUGAAACUGAAAGGAGUCCAGUAUGAGUACAUUGAAGUUGAUCUCACUAAUAAGAGCCCUUUGCUUCUCAAGUCUAACCCCGUUCACAAGAAGGUCCCUGUGCUCUUGCACAACGGGAAGCCCAUCGCGGAAUCACUCGUUAUUCUCGAGUACAUCGACGAGACCUGGAAAGCCAAUCCUAUCUUGCCUCAGCACCCUUAUGACAGAGCCAUGGCACGCUUCUGGGCUAAGUACAUAGAUGAAAAGGUAUAAUACCAUUUUUCCCAUGCCCUUUUUUUUUCCCCCGCAGAACAUUCUUGAGUCAAAUGAUUUUUUCCUAGGCCUGCAACCCCUAUUUCACUUAGAAACCAAUUGAAUCUAUUGUGUUUAGUGCUUGCCUGCACUGUGGAACGCUUGUUGGUGCGAAAAGAAGGACCGAGAGAAGGCCGUGGAAGAAGCAAACGUGUGCCUGAAAACGCUAGAAAAUGAGCUCAAGGAUAAGAAGUUCUUUGGAGGAGAGAGUAUCGGAUUUGUAGAUAUCGCUGCCAAUUUCAUAGGCUUUUGGGUUGGAGUUCUUGGGGAAGUGGUUGGAGUGGAAUUGCUGACAAUUGACAAAUUUCCAAUAUUAUGCAAAUGGAGAGAUGAGUACGUCGGGUGCAGUGUGAUCAAGGAAAAUCUGCCUUCCAAAGAAAAGCUAGGGGCCUAUUUGCGGACCCGGGCUGAAAGCGCCAGUCAAUCCAAAUGAAUGGUUUGUGGAUGAGGUUAUGCGGACUGCUGCUCAUGGACAUGAGUAACUUGAAAGAAAACCAGCCUUCUGUAUAUUUGUGUAAUGCGUUGUGCUUCUGCUUUUCUAGUAUGUUGUCUACUUGUUUUGGC
rnacentral:lncRNA from 1 species